GCAGAGGUGGACCGUGUUGGGGUCUGAGGUUUUACCUCUGAAAGCUACCUGCAAAAAGGGACUACCUAGAAAAGUAUCACCCUGGAAUUUUAGCAUAACCUUUUCAAAACCAACUACUAACCACCAAGCACUGUUUUAUGAAAUUUGCAGGCAUCAUGUGUCAUUCUCACAGCUGUUAGGACUUCAAUGAUGUUAUCUCCGAGAAUGACUGAAAUUUUAAAGAGAUCGGUAGUUCUAUUAUGGGGAGGACAUGUGGGUUUUCUUCUGCUUCCUAAAGAGACAAAGCCCUAGCAACUGAUCAACUGGAGUGGACAGUUCUCUUGUCCCAGGGGAAUCUGGUGCCUGAGAGCUGUCAUUUGAGGAUUCCAGGAGAGUUCUUGUGGAUUUCAAGUGAACUUUCUGAACCUAAAAAUUUGGGAAAUGUAGACUUCCCCAAGAGAAUAUGACUUAAGGAGCAGGAAUG
rnacentral:lncRNA from 1 species